UCAUCUUCGGGGGUAGAGCACUGUUUCGGCUAGGGGGUCAUCCCGACUUACCAACCCGAUGCAAACUACGAAUACCGAAGAAUGUUAUCACGGGAGACACACGGCGGGUGCUAACGUCCGUCGUGAAGAGGGAAACAACCCAGACCGCCAGCUAAGGUCCCAAAGUCAUGGUUAAGUGGGAAACGAUGUGGGAAGGCACAGACAGCCAGGAUGUUGGCUUAGAAGCAGCCAUCAUUUAAAGAAAGCGUAAUAGCUCACUGGUCGAGUCGGCCUGCGCGGAAGAUGUAACGGGGCUAAACCAUGCACCGAAGCUGCGGCAGCGACACUAUGUGUUGUUGGGUAGGGGAGCGUUCUGUAAGCCUGCGAAGGUGACCUGUGAGGGUUGCUGGAGGUAUCAGAAGUGCGAAUGCUGACAUAAGUAACGAUAAAGCGGGUGAAAAGCCCGCUCGCCGGAAGACCAAGGGUUCCUGUCCAACGUUAAUCGGGGCAGGGUGAGUCGACCCCUAAGGCGAGGCCGAAAGGCGUAGUCGAUGGGAAACAGGUUAAUAUUCCUGUACUUGGUGUUACUGCGAAGGGGGGACGGAGAAGGCUAUGUUAGCCGGGCGACGGUUGUCCCGGUUUAAGCAUGUAGGCUGAUUAUCCAGGCAAAUCCGGAUAAUCAAGGCUGAGGUGUGAUGACGAGGCACUACGGUGCUGAAGUAACAAAUGCCCUGCUUCCAGGAAAAGCCUCUAAGCAUCAGGUAACAUCAAAUCGUACCCCAAACCGACACAGGUGGUCAGGUAGAGAAUACCAAGGCGCUUGAGAGAACUCGGGUGAAGGAACUAGGCAAAAUGGUGCCGUAACUUCGGGAGAAGGCACGCUGGUGUGUAGGUGAAG
rnacentral:rRNA from 1 species